rnacentral:ribozyme from 13 species
GGAGAAGAAGAGAGAAGAAGACAAGAUCGUUUCAUUUUUUUGUUUUGUGUGUUCUUUUUUUUCUUUUUGUUUUUGUUUUUGUUUUUUGUUUUCUUUUCGAAUU